rnacentral:rRNA from 1 species
UACAGAGGUGCCAAGCGUUAGGCGGAAUCACUGGGCUUAAAGCGUGUGUAGGCGGACUUCUAAGUACCUUGUGAAAUCCCACGGCUCAACCGUGGAACUGCUGGGUAUACUGGGAGUCUUGAGCCACUUAGGGGUCAGCGGAACAAAUGGUGGAGCGGUGAAAUGCGUAGAGAUCGGGAGGAACACCAGUGGCGAAGGCGGCUACCUGGACCAGCAUUGACACUCAAGCACGAAAGCGUGGGGAGCAAACAGG